AAGUCCACUAAUUCGUUAAAAAUUAGAUAAAACUUGAGAAAGAUUCAGGAGAAGAGGGAAAAAUAAUAAAUAAUAAUGACGGAGCAGUAGUUGUAUGUACUUUGAUCUUGAAAACUAGAAUCUGAUUACAUAAUUGAACAACGACUAAGAGCUAUCAAGGUAUUACAAUUUUUUGACUUCUCAAAGCAGUAGAGUACAGCAGUCAAUUAAUUUAAACAGAGGAUUAGUAUUUCCAUCGUUUCUGAGCCUCAAAUAUCUGGAAAAGCCG
rnacentral:misc_RNA from 1 species